GUCCAUGUAGCUUAAAACAAAGCGAGGCACUGAAAAUGCCUAAAUGAGCCCAAGAGGCUCCGUGAACA
rnacentral:tRNA from 1 species